rnacentral:rRNA from 1 species
GACAGAGGAUGCAAGCGUUAUCCGGAAUGAUUGGCGUAAAGCGUCUGUAGGUGGCUUUUAAGUCCGCCGUCAAAUCCCAGGCUCAACCCUGGACAGGCGGUGGAAACUACCAAGCUGGAGUACGGUAGGGCAGAGGGAAUUUCCGGUGGAGCGGUGAAAUGCGUAGAGAUCGGAAAGAACACCAACGGCGAAAGCACUCUGCUGGGCCGACACUGACACUGAGAGACGAAAGCUAGGGGAGCGAAUGG